rnacentral:lncRNA from 1 species
GUGUUGUUUAUUGUUCACAGCUGGAUUGAGCUCAAUUGAGAGUGUCAUGCUCUGUCAAUAUCUAUUGCAGGAGUUGUCAUUCUCUGUUACUAGAGUUGUCAAUCUCAGAUGCAGGAGUUGUCAGUUGCAGCCAUUCUCGCUGUGUCAAGCUUGUGACUUGCGUUGUAUCAGGUUGGUAACAGCUUGUAUCUCAAUAGGACUGAAUGUAGCCAGGAGUUGUCUUAGGUUAGUCUAAUGUGCCAAAACGUUAGUCAAACCACCUAGGUUGUGUUUGUUCUGGAGAGUUCAGCUAGUCCGAGUGAUCUGGGUUAUCCUACGUUUUAUCCCU